CCCAGCCUGCAUCUUCGUUGCAUCUAGCUGUCAAGGCCAAAGCAACAUCCGCUCAACGAUUAUCCGCUAGCUUCCUACUCGCCAAAAAGGGCUCCGCUAGCCAGUACUACCGCUGAACAACCUCCGCCGGAAAACCUUCCGCCACACUUUACACCACCAAUCCUUGGUCCACCAUGUGCAGCGCAGUCCACCGUCCAUCUCUCGCUAGCAAACCAAAAAAAAAACCUUGGCGGCAAAUCUUCUCUGGACACCCAGAAAACUUCUCUGGGCACCCAGGCUUCUUUUCUCGAUCGAUCGUCAACCCCAACGGCCAGCGCCUCCGCUGAGCUCCAAACACCAAGCUUCCUCCUCCAGCGAGCCCUUCCGUCGGACAACCCACUAGCUCCAUCAACGAGCUCCGCCGAACUUCUCCUCCGCUGAGCAGUUCCGCCGUUCAUGCUCCGUUGAUGAUCCAAAGCUCCAUCAUCACCGCUCCACCGCUGGGACAUCACCACCCAACUGCCUCCGCUAGCAGAAUACCGCCAGCAACGGCUACUCCAUUGGACAACCCAUUAACCGGCUCCGCUGAGCUCCGAGUCUUCCGCCGAACUUCGAUCCGCCGCUGAGCUAGUAUCGAAUCUCCGUCGAGCUCCAGGUGAGCACAGAGCUCCGCUCCGCCACACUUCUUCAGCGGGUACAACUCCGCUAGGCACCGCCAAAGCUUUACUGGCAAGUCCAGCAAGCUUCACCGCCGGCCACAAAACAAACUGCAAUUGACCCACGAUCAACAAUCAUCCUCGCCGCCAACCACAACCAGCGGUUAAAUCACCGCUAAACACCACCGGCGGCUUUGCAGGCUUAACGACCAUUCUCCGCCAACCUAGCUCCGGCCAUGACUUCCGCCAGCUACCUGCCACCGGCGGCACUGUUAGCUCCCAUCACCAGCAAAGGCAACCUCCACAGCUUCCACCGCUGACCUCCGCUAGCCAUUACGAGUCUCCGCCAAACUAUUGAGUCUCCGCCGAAAUUCCAGUCUCCGCUGAGCUCCAAGUGUGGAGCCUCCGCCGAGCAUCACCAUACCGCUAGCCACCCACCAACGGCUCCACUGUCCAUAGCUCGACAAAUCUAACCCCUCUGCUGAGCACCGCUAGCCUCCACCACUGAGUUAAACACCGUCGAGCACCUCUGCUCCAUGCAGUUACUCCGACUCUCCACCGCCAACUAUGGCCAACUCACCGCCGAACUCCUACGUUGGGAGUCACCGUUGAACUCUGUUGCUGAGCGUCGCUAGCC
rnacentral:lncRNA from 1 species